GGAGUGUAGCUCAAUGGAGAGCACUUGCCUAGCAUGCAUGAGGCCCUGGAUUCAAUUCCCAUCACCA
rnacentral:tRNA from 1 species